GAUGAAGAACGCAGUGAAAUGCGAUAAGUAAUGUGAAUUGCAGAAUUCAGUGAAUCAUCGAAUCUUUGAACGCAUCUUGCGCUCCUUGGUAUUCUGAGGAGCAUGCCUGUUUGAGUGUCAUUAAAUUCUCAACUACACUGACUUUGAAUUGGUGUGGCUUGGAUUUGGGGGGAAAAUUGUUGUGGGCUUUUUGUAUAGUCUGCUCCCCUGAAAUUGAUUAGCGGUACCUUUGUGGAACUGUCUACAGGUGUGAUAAUUAUCUACAUCUUAGACAUCUGCUGGAAUGCUGCUUUCUAAACCUUACUUGUAUUGACAAUCUUGACCUCAAAUCAGGUAGGACUACCCGCUGAACUUAAGCAUAUCAAUAGCGGAGGA
rnacentral:misc_RNA from 1 species